UUACUCCCGUCAGCGGCCGUGGCCUCCGAGGCUGAGCACCGUCUGUUUGAGCGGCUGUUCGAGGAUUACAACGAGAUCAUCCGGCCCGUGGCCAACGUGUCCGACCCAGUCAUCAUCCAGUUUGAGGUGUCCAUGUCUCAGCUGGUGAAGGUGGACGAGGUCAACCAGAUCAUGGAGACCAACCUGUGGCUCAAGCAAAUCUGGAAUGACUACAAACUGAAGUGGAACCCAUCUGACUACGAUGGGGCAGAGUUCAUGCGCGUCCCUGCGCAGAAGAUCUGGAAGCCUGACAUCGUGCUGUACAACAAGU